UUUCUUUUUACAGACAGAAUACGGAUUAACGGACGAACAAGUUGCAGAAUUCAAAGAAGCUUUUCAACUUUUCGAUCAGAACGGCGAUGGGUGUAUUGAAGCUGCAGAAUUGGGGGUCAUUAUGAGAUCGUUGGGUCAUCGACCCACGGAAGCAGAACUUAGACAGAUGGUCACUUUAGUGGAUGAAGAUGGUAAAUGA